rnacentral:snRNA from 1 species
GUGCUUGCUUCAGCAGCACAUCCACUAAAAUUGGAAAAAUACAGAGAAGAUUAGCAUGGUCCCUGCUAAUGACACACAAAUUUAUUUUUUU